UUAAUUGCGACUGCAGUUACAUGCCGUCGCAUGUGCUUGUGUCAAUUGUGACAAAGCUAACAAGUCGUCGCUUGUUUUAGGUAAUAAGAUACGAGUGUGAGGGAAAAAAAAAAAAGGAUAAAAACCAGAUCCAGAUCUGGUUUCCUCUCUCGUUCUCUUCCUCUCGUCACAUGGCAAACACACAGAGAAACUCAUUCCAUUGUCAUUUCGUCUUCCUCUCAGGUUAUUCCAGGGUGGGUUAAGACAUCUAGAUACUAGCCAACAUAAACCCUAACUUUCUCUUCCGGUGGAUUGAAGAACUGGUUCCCUUGGCUGCGUUUGAGUGUUCGCAGGCACGAGGUUGAUAGUGGAAAUCAAACUUGGUUUGCAGAUGAAACUUUUCUUCUACUCUGGGUUUUGAAUUUGGGUGAGACAUAAUCUCUUCGUCAAUUUCACCAAACAGAGUACCUUGGUCUGGCAUCGAAUUCUCCAAUCCCUCCGUGAAUUGAAACAUAUAAUUAACUAGAAUGAACUGUUUAGGAGGACAAGAGCUGCUUCCCGAGGAACGAACCUAAGAAGCUCAAAUUGCUUGGUCUUGAUUUGUCUAUUUCUUUCUGUUUUUUGAUGCUCGCAAAUGGCCUACUAUGGAACCUUGAAAAUUGAUCUUCAACAUUGGAGCUUUUGAAGCCAUUGUCUCUCAGUUUCGGUAUCACACACUUUCUUAGGGAACUUGCUUGUUGCAUGUAUAACCAGAUCUUCAUGUUAUGCCAAGCUGAGGUUGCAUGAUAAAAAUGAAGGGUGUUUGGUAUAUUCACAGAGAAAGCAUCUUUGGCUGCACCACCACAGAUAUUUCAUAAGGAGCCAUUCUUCUAUGGACAUGAUAACUACGAUCAGCUAGUGAAACUGGCAAAGGAGGCUUGCAACAACACUAGAGUAAUUGGUACGUGAACUACAUAGAUCGAAGAAGAUUCCUGCAAAGUUUAUCUUGAAGUAGAGGAAAAUAACUAACUUAUAAAAUUUAAUUAUCUAGUAAACUU